AUAAUGUGCACCCAAAUUAAGUGUGAGUGGGGGUCUGACUGUAUGUCUAAAGUGUACAGGCAGAGAUGAAUGUGUGUGGCUUUAGCAGAUCCACACUCAUCCAGGGAUAACUGGACCAUGGGGGCAGGGUGGGAGUGGAGAGAAGUCAUCAUAGGAUGGUAAUCAGGUGCUUGCAGGGAGAAGAGAAGGAAAAGCAGAUGAGUGAACAAGGGCAGAUGGUGCUGGAGAAUUCCAUCAAGUGGGCAUCAAGAAGGGACUGGAGGUUAAAACCUUUGGGAUAAAGAAGAAGAAAAAAAGACAAGCUGGUAAAAAGUAAGGUCUGGGGGGUGGAGGCAAGAAGGGGAGUUGCUAAAAACUCUAGAAUAAGCAGUAAGACAUCUUUCAAUAAAACUGCCCCUUCCCAGAUGGCACCUGGGCACUGUUUGCUGGGCACAAACAUGGCACUGUUUCCUAGGAGAUGAUUCCUCCAGUUCUUUAAGGUAGUAAUGAAUGACAACAAGAAGUUACUUCUCUAUGCUACACACGGUGUAGAAUCCAGAGCCUGACUGGCUGUGACGCGCCCAUGGUGACACCAAGGGGACUCUGCAUGGGCACAUCCCGGCCCUCCUCCCUGCAUGUUCUCCAAGCCAGGUCUUUGAAACCUCCAGUGAUGGGAAUGACAGAAUCUGGGAUGAUUUUCUUCUGUUUCUUAUCUAAAAAAA
rnacentral:lncRNA from 1 species